rnacentral:rRNA from 1 species
GCUUGUCUCAAAGAUUAAGCCAUGCAUGUCUAAGUAUAAAUGGUAUACAGUGAAACUGCGAAUGGCUCAUUAAAACAGUUAUAGUUUAUUUGGUAAUCGAAUUUACAUGGAUAACCGUGGUAAUUCUAGAGCUAAUACAUGCGUCAAUGCCCGACUUUGGAAGGGCUGUGUUUAUUAGAUCCAAAACCAAUGCGGGGCAACCCGGUUACUGGUGAUUCAUAAUAACCUAUCGGACCGAAUGGCCUUGCGCCGUCGGUGCAUCAUUCAAAUUUCUGCCCUAUCAAUUUGUUGGUAGUAUAUAGGACUACCAAGAUGAUUACGGGUAACGGAGAAUUAGGGUUUGAUUCCGGAGAGGGAGCCUGAGAAACGGCUACCACAUCUAAGGAAGGCAGCAGG